rnacentral:rRNA from 1 species
AUUGAACGCUGGCGGCAUGCUUUACACAUGCAAGUCGAACGGCAGCACAGGGAGCUUGCUCCCGGGUGGCGAGUGGCGCACGGGUGAGUAAUACAUCGGAACGUGUCCUGUUGUGGGGGAUAACUGCUCGAAAGGGUGGCUAAUACCGCAUGAGACCUGAGGGUGAAAGCGGGGGAUCGCAAGACCUCGCGCAAUUGGAGCGGCCGAUGCCCGAUUAGCUAGUUGGUGAGGUAAAGGCUCACCAAGGCGACGAUCGGUAGCUGGUCUGAGAGGACGACCAGCCACACUGGGACUGAGACACGGCCCAGACUCCUACGGGAGGCAGCAGUGGGGAAUUUUGGACAAUGGGGGCAACCCUGAUCCAGCCAUGCCGCGUGCAGGAUGAAGGCCUCGGUGUAACUAGCUUUGUCUAGGACGAAAGG